UGGGGAAUUUUGCACAAUGGGGGAAACCCUGAUGCAGCGACGCCGCGUGAUUUAGAAGGCCUUCGGGUUGUAAAAAUCUUUUGUAUAGGAAGAAAAUGACAGUACUAUACGAAUAAGGACCGGCUAAUUACGUGCCAGCAGCCGCGGUAAUACGUAAGGUCCGAGCGUUGUCCGGAAUCAUUGGGCGUAAAGGGUACGUAGGCGGGUAAGCAAGUUAGAAGUGAAAUCCUAUAGCUCAACUAUAUAAAGCUUUUAAAACUGCUAGGCUUGAGAGAUGGAAGGGAAAGUGGAAUUCCUAGUGUAGCGGUGAAAUGUGCAGAUAUUAGGAAGAAUACCGGUGGCGAAGGCGACUUUCUGGUCAUCAUCUGACGCUGAGGUACGAAAGCGUGGGUAGCAAACAGG
rnacentral:rRNA from 1 species